rnacentral:sRNA from 1 species
CAAAACCUUAAACUUUUGUCUUUCCAGGAACGGUAAUGGGAGGAGAGAGAGAGCAGGGAUUGGGGGACACUGCCCCCCCAAAGUUUCUGUGGCUGCGCUUAGCACCCCAACCAUCCUCCUUUGUCCUCAGUGGAUCUAAAGUUUGAUACCCCAGGAGGGGAGCGCUGCCGCGUCUGCACGCUUUGCUGGUUAAUCAAUGUCCAGGCAAGAGAGAGCCUCUCGGGUCGCCAGAAAGAUAACUGUCUUGGAAAGUGAACGGGAAAGACACUUGGAAUGAGAUAUCUGACACCUGGGUGCCUCUUUGUCUUUGCAGGAAGUGGUUACCUGGAAGGAAAGGAGCUGCAGAACUUGAUCCAGGAGCUCCAGCAGGCGCGAAAGAAGGCUGGAUUGGAGUUAUCACCUGAAAUGAAAACUUUUGUGGAUCAGUAUGGGCAAAGAGAUGAUGGAAAAAUAGGAAUUGUAGAGUUGGCUCACGUAUUACCCACAGAAGAGAAUUUCCUGCUGCUCUUCCGAUGCCAGCAGCUGAAGUCCUGU